GCUGGCGGCGUGCCUAAUACAUGCAAGUCGAACGGUCUUUCUAUGGAAGCUUGCUUCCACUGAGAAGAUAGUGGCGAACGGGUGAGUAACACGUGGGGUAACCUGCCCAUAAGAGGGGGGAUAACAUCCGGAAACGGGUGCUAAUACCGCAUAGUUUUCUUGAUCGCAUGAUCGGGAAAGGAAAGACGGCCUUUGUGCUGUCGCUUAUGGAUGGACCCGCGGCGUAUUAGUUAGUUGGUGAGGUAACGGCUCACCAAGACGAUGAUACGUAGCCGACCUGAGAGGGUGAUCGGCCACAUUGGGACUGAGACACGGCCCAAACUCCUACGGGAGGCAGCAGUAGGGAAUCUUCCGCAAUGGACGAAAGUCUGACGGAGCAACGCCGCGUGAGUGAAGAAAGGUUUUCGGAUCGUAAAACUCUGUUGUCAGAGAAGAACAAGUCGGAGAGUAACUGCUCCAGCCUUGACGGUAUCUGACCAGAAAGCCACGGCUAACUACGUGCCAGCAGCGGC
rnacentral:rRNA from 1 species